CGGCGAGUGAAGCGGCAACAGCUCAAAUUUGAAAUCUGGCCUCGGCCCGAGUUGUAAUUUGCAGAGGAAGCUUUAGGCGCGGCACCUUCUGAGUCCCCUGGAACGGGGCGCCAUAGAGGGUGAGAGCCCCGUAUAGUUGGAUGCCUAGCCUGUGUAAAGCUCCUUCGACGAGUCGAGUAGUUUGGGAAUGCUGCUCAAAAUGGGAGGUAAAUUUCUUCUAAAGCUAAAUACCGGCCAGAGACCGAUAGCGCACAAGUAGAGUGAUCGAAAGAUGAAAAGCACUUUGAAAAGAGGGUUAAAUAGCACGUGAAAUUGUUGAAAGGGAAGCGCUUGUGACCAGACUUGCGCCGGGCUGAUCAUCCGGUGUUCUCACCGGUGCACUCUGCCCGGCUCAGGCCAGCAUCGGUUCUCGCGGGGGGAUAAAGGCCCAGGGAACGUAGCUCCUCCGGGAGUGUUAUAGCCCUGGGUGCAAUGCCCUCGCGGGGACCGAGGUUCGCGCAUCUGCAAGGAUGCUGGCGUAAUGGUCACCAGCGAC
rnacentral:rRNA from 1 species